rnacentral:misc_RNA from 1 species
CGCACAUUGCGCCCUUUGGUAUUCCGAUGGGCAUGCCGUAGCGAGCGUCUUUUCUACUUCUGAACUUUGUUUAGGUGUUGGGCUAAGCCUGUGCUGGCCUGUAAAGAAGAGCGCUGGCAGCUGUGAGUCCGGUUUGGCAGGAGUCAUCCGCACAGUUGUUGGUGAUAAAUCAACCCUUUGGGUUACUGAUUUUGACCUCGUUGCGACAAGAAUACCCGCUGAACUUAA